ensembl:lncRNA LINC02097 long intergenic non-protein coding RNA 2097
AGUCCCUGUCUUCAAGCAAAAGUGCUCACUGCAUUUCAGAUCUUCUCGGAGGAAGAGUCCAGCCUCACCUAAGACACUCACCUGCACAAUGAAUGACACGUGACAUUGUCAUGGCAGCUUUUGUCCUGACCUAGCCUUAGGUAGCACUGACAAAUCCACUGCGUGCUCACUAUUGGGUCAUUUGACAUUUGGAAUCGGUGACCUGACAACACUGCCGUACGGAAAGGCUAACGGAAACAGAGGCUGCAGCCACAGCCCAGGAACGGUGGUCUUUCGCACACAUGGGGCAGCCUCUGCCACAACUUUUUCUUCCAAGGAAAUCAACACAAAUGAAAACUGGCUGAUGCUCUGGUCCACCAGAGGCUGAAGAAGAAAACCGCAAAAUGGAGACUGCCCAAUUCUAAUUUAAUUCAGAAGAACAAACAGGGCAUCACUCAGCGGACUUCAAAUCCCCAGUCAGAAGAUUUUGCCCGUGGAGCAAAUCGUUUCAUGGGCCAUCUACCCCACCUACUCCCUCCUGCCACAGCAAGGAGGUGAAAAUAGCUCAUGAAGCCAUGGGGAGUUCAAAGUGGAACUGUGAAGUUUCCCAAGCUCCAUGCAGGUCACUGAAGUCCACCCUGCAAACAACAGUCCUUCACCUUCUGAAGACCUGUCACCUAUGAAGCAGCAAGGAAGGAAUUUCUUGGCUCUGCUUCCUGGCAGUCAUUACCUGUGAUCUUCUAUCCCAAUUGGUUGACCCUAGCAACUGAGCCCCAUGAAAUAUGUAUUUAGUGGACUGAAUGAAUUGGACAAUUGAAUCAGAAAAAGCAACAAGAACUCCCAAGGUUAAAACAAGUCCAGGACUACACUCCUCUCUUCCUGCCUCUCCACAUUGAUCUGCAGCUUCUAGAGAAGACUGAGCAAAGAGAUGCUGGUGUCUUUGACUUCAGGGAAGAGCAAUGUCAAGGAGAGAGGCCAGCAGAUUUUUUUAAAUCUCUAUUCACCUGUCACUGUCCAGCCUGCCAUUGUGGUGGGUGAAGACAACAUUUAGGGAUUCUAGUGCUAGUAGGAUACAAACAACAUUUCUAUUUUGUUAUUAAGUAAAUAAAUACCACUCUUUAUCAACCUGCUCCUUCCUGGCGUGCAGAAUGACUUAUAGCUAAGGUAAAUGGUCGCUCAGGAACUCAUAGCACGUACCCACUUCCAGGUAGCUUCAGCUGAGCAUUCAGCACAACACAGCAUAAGGGCUAACAGUGAGCAGAAAGCCCCAAAACUCAGCACCUGUCUUUUUAGUAUCUCAUAGAGAAAAAUAAAUGCAGAAAGCAUAUUGAAAGUGGGGAAAGCAUGCAGUCUUCUGAGGUUAGGGCCAGGCUGCAGCAACAGCUAUGGUUGGCUGGACUCCCUGACACCAAAGAAGAAAAUGCUGUAUGCUUUCAAGGAGCCUUCUGGAGUACUGAGCUAGGACAUAAAAACAUUCAACUGCUCUUGCCAUUUGAAUGGGGAAAUAUAUGGUUCUAGGCCUGCAGCAAGAAAAGUGGUGCAUUCCACCCAGCAUUCUCAUUCUAAAAUGCAAAUUGGAUCACGUCUGUCUUCAGCUUCAUGGUAUUCAUUGGUUUUAGAUGAAUUGCAAAGUCUUUAACAUCGCAGAGAAGGCUUUUUCUGGUCUGACCGCAGCCUAUUUCCCCAGGUUUAUCUCUCACUCCAUCCCAUACCUGCACUGGCCUUCUGUUUUCUAAUUAUCUUACUGACCUGCCAUUCCCAGAACCCACCAUGUUUUCUCUUAUACCUGGAUUUUGCACAUGCUGUUCCCUCUACCUGGAACAUAUUUUCCCCACCCAUCCAUUCUCUGGCUAACUGUUACUGGACUGAAAAGCAUAUCACAGAAAACAAACAGUACCAGCUGUCAGCGGACAGUUUUUGCAUUGUAUUAAUAUUUUCUUUCUCUGAAGCUCCAGAGACCAAAAAUGUACAAAACAACAAAUCAAGCAACCUCACAUGGUAAAUAAUUUUUCACCAAUAAAUGUUAAAUAUAGUUCAUAUAUGCUUAUAUUAUACAAGUCUUCUAGGAAGACAGACAUUAACGAUGCAAAUUUUAAAGUUCAUUUCUUUAAAAAAAUCCAUGUAUAAUAUUAGCAGAUUAUUCUUUUUGGAGUCAGAUAUAUGCGGCUUUGAGUAUCAGCGCUGCCACUUACUAGCAGUAUGAUGUUAUGCAAAUUAUCAACCCCUUUGUGCCCCAACCUUCUCAUCUGCAAAGUGGAAAUCAUCCUAGCACCUGCCUGAUGGACGUCUUGUGAGGAUCAAAUGAGAUGAUAAGAAUGAAGUGCCCUGUGCUACUUACCAGGCAUGCAGUGUACUCAGUCAACUCAAUGAAUGAUCACUGUUACCAUCUUCAUUGUUGUCAUCAUCAUCAUCAAUAUGUAUCAAGAGCCCUGCUGCAUCUUUCUCUGGUGGCUCCUGGUGCUUUAAAACUUGAUAUGCUCAUUCCAUUCUGCAGCUACCAAAGCCUUUUGAGGGUUAACCUAACCUUGAUCACUCCUGAAGAGCAUCCAACCACCACCUUCAUCUUGGGCAACAGGAAACUACAGGGCUCUUCUCAGGUGGUUAUUCCCAGGAGGGGGAAACUUACUAAGACAUACCAGAGGUCCUAAUCAACAGAAUAAUUAAAAAGGGAGGCAGCCCUCUUCUGCAAUCCCUGACAUCUAAA